GAGUCUCCUUCCCAGGCUACGAAUACUCGGACCAGAAAUCUGGAAAGUCAAAGGGAAAGGAUGUGAAGUUGGCGGAGUUUGCUGUGGCUGCAGGGGACCAGAUGCUUUACAGGAGUGAGGACAUCCAGCUAGAUUACAAAAACAACAUCCUGAAGGAGAGGGCGGAGCUGGCCCACAGCGCCCUGCCUGCCAAGUACAUCGACCUAGACAAAGGUGAGCGGCGGGGGUGACCUCAGCCCAUCUCAGAGCCCUGCCUGUUGCCAUUCCACCUCACCUGGGACAGCCAAGGGCAGGCACCAGCCAGGCCCGGGGCCCCUGCCACCUCAGGCUCAGAAAUCCCUGGGGAGUCCUGCUGGGGGUCUGCCCUGCAUCUCCCACUGUGAUGAGGGUGGAGAACAGACGCCGACCCGUUGGCGCCCUUGGUUUCCAGGGUUCCGGAAGGAGAACUGCAAAUAGGGAGGCCCUGGGCUCCUGGCUGGGCCAGCAGCUGCACCUCUCCUGUCUGUGCCCCUCGGGGCGUCUCCUGAUGCUCCCAGGCUCACCCCCACUUCCAGCGGCCGGUCCCGCUUUCCUGGAAUUUGGCCUGGGCGUAUGCAGAGGCCGCUCGCACACCUCUCUCCCAGGGGCUUGGUGGCAGUAUAGCCCCCACCCCUUCGGCCUUUGCUCAUGGGUGGCCCUGCCCACCCCGGCACAACCAAAAUCCCACUGAUGCCCAUCAUGCCCUCAGAUCCUUCUGGGCUCUGCCCGCUGGGGGCUUGAAGACAUUCCUGGAGGACACUCCCAUCAGAACCUGGCAGCCCCAAAACUGGGGUCAGCCUCAGGGCAGGAGUCCCAGUCCUCCUGGG
rnacentral:sRNA from 1 species